UACGUAGGGUGCGAGCGUUGUCCGGAAUUAUUGGGCGUAAAGGGCUCGUAGGCGGUUUGUCGCGUCGGGAGUGAAAACCUCGGGCUUAACUCGGGGCUUGCUUUCGAUACGGGCAGACUGGAGGUAUGCAGGGGAGAACGGAAUUCCUGGUGUAGCGGUGAAAUGCGCAGAUAUCAGGAGGAACACCGGUGGCGAAGGCGGUUCUCUGGGCAUUACCUGACGCUGAGGAGCGAAAGCCAGGGGAGCAAACGGG
rnacentral:rRNA from 1 species